rnacentral:rRNA from 1 species
AGUGAACGCUGGCGGUAGGCCUAACACAUGCAAGUCGAACGGCAGCACAGUAAGAGCUUGCUCUUACGGGUGGCGAGUGGCGGACGGGUGAGGAAUACAUCGGAAUCUACUUUUUCGUGGGGGACAACGUAGGGAAACUUACGCUAACACCGCAUACGACCUACGGGUGAAAGCAGGGGAUCUUCGGACCUUGCGCGAUUGAAUGAGCCGAUGUCGGAUUAGCUAGUUGGCGGGGUAAAGGCCCACCAAGGCGACGAUCCGUAGCUGGUCUGAGAGGAUGAUCAGCCACACUGGAACUGAGACACGGUCCAGACUCCUACGGGAGGCAGCAGUGGGGAAUAUUGGACAAUGGGCGCAAGCCUGAUCCAGCCAUACCGCGUGGGUGAAGAAGGCCUUCGGAUUGUAAAGCCCUUUUAUUGGGAAAGAAAAGCAGCAGGUUAAUACCCCGCUGUUCUGACGGUACCCAAAGAAUAAGCACCGGCUAACUUCGUG